rnacentral:rRNA from 1 species
GUGCCUAACACAUGCAAGUCGAGCGAACCCUUCGGGGUGAGCGGCGGACGGGUGAGUAACGCGUGGGUAACCUGCCCUGUACACACGGAUAACAUACCGAAAGGUAUGCUAAUACGAGAUAAUAUAUUUUAAUCGCAUGGUUAAGAUAUCAAAGCUCCGGCGGUACAGGAUGGACCCGCGUCUGAUUAGCUAGUUGGUGAGGUAAUGGCUCACCAAGGCGACGAUCAGUAGCCGACCUGAGAGGGUGAUCGGCCACACUGGAACUGAGACACGGUCCAGACUCCUACGGGAGGCAGCAGUGGGGAAUAUUGCACAAUGGGCGAAAGCCUGAUGCAGCAACGCCGCGUGAGCGAUGAAGGCCUUCGGGUCGUAAAGCUCUGUCCUUAAGGAAGAUAAUGACGGUACUUGAGGAGGAAGCCCCGGCUAACUACGUGCCAGCAGCCGCGGUAAUACGUAGGGGGCUAGCGUUAUCCGGAAUUACUGGGCGUAAAGGGUGCGUAGGCGGUCUUUCAAGCCAGAAGUGAAAGGCUACGGCUCAACCGUAGUAAGCUUUUGGAACUGUAAGACUUGAGUGCAGGAGAGGAGAGUGGAAUUCCUAGUGUAGCGGUGAAAUGCGUAGAUAUUAGGAGGAACACCAGUAGCGAAGGCGGCUCUCUGGACUGUAACUGACGCUGAGGCACGAAAGCGUGGGGAGCAAACAGGAUUAGAUACCCUGGUAGUCCACGCCGUAAACGAUGAGUACUAGGUGUCGGGGGGUUACCCCCCUCGGUGCCGCAGCUAACGCAUUAAGUACUCCGCCUGGGAAGUACGCUCGCAAGAGUGAAACUCAAAUGAAUUGACGG